ACUCCUACGGGAGGCAGCAGUGGGGAAUAUUGCACAAUGGGCGCAAGCCUGAUGCAGCCAUGCCGCGUGUGUGAAGAAGGCCUUCGGGUUGUAAAGCACUUUCAGUUGUGAGGAAGGUGGUGUCGUUAAUAGCGGCAUCAUUUGACGUUAGCAACAGAAGAAGCACCGGCUAACUCCGUGCCAGCAGCCGCGGUAAUACGGAGGGUGCGAGCGUUAAUCGGAAUUACUGGACGUAAAGCGCAUGCAGGUGGUUUGUUAAGUCAGAUGUGAAAGCCCGGGGCUCAACCUCGGAACUGCAUUUGAAACUGGCAGACUAGAGUACUGUAGAGGGGGGUAGAAUUUCAGGUGUAGCGGUGAAAUGCGUAGAGAUCUGAAGGAAUACCGGUGGCGAAGGCGGCCCCCUGGACAAAGACUGACGCUCAGAUGCGAAAGCGUGGGGAGCAAACAGGGGGUCUGGGGAGACAAGGCACAC
rnacentral:rRNA from 1 species